GGAGCCCAGCCGUGCCCUGUCUAAGCUGACGGAGCCCACAGCCGUGCCCAUCCCCAAGCUGUCUGUCUCCAACAUGGUGCACAGCGCCCGCAAACGCAUCCGCCGCCACCGCCGCAUUGACGAAUCACCGCUCAGCAAUGACGUGCUCAACUCCAUACUGCUGUAUCUCUUCCCAGACGCAGCCAUAGGUAAACCAUCAUCAGAGAACAGCGAGAGAAAGGCUGCUCAAUCAAACACCGAUGGGGAAACCAGAAGAGAAGGAUUCUGACGACUAGCCUGUACAACCAGCUGAAGUCUUCUAGUAACAGUCUGUGUCUGGUUAACUUCUACCAUGGAGGCGUCCGGGCCGUGGCUCACCUCUGGCAGGAGUUUUUCCUGGAGAUGAGAUACCGUUGGGAGAACAACUACCUCGUCUAUUGGUGAGAAGAACCAGAUUUUAGCUGGAUUGAUUGAUUGUUACACCUUCUGAGAACAUGGUCCUAUUCAUUACGCAACACACAGAAGAAAAUGGACUGAACUAGUCCAGUAAGAAACUAUAUAUUUUCAGUUUUCCCUUUUGCUACGGUGUGCCCCAAUGAAUAAGACCCCAGAUUAUAACACCUUCGAUUGCUACCUAAUGGGACACAGUAACAAGCACAGCAUCGAUUGGGAUCAAAGACAUUUAUAUUCCUGUCAAUUUAAGUUCAUAUGGAUUUUGUCCAUUUUAAUAGACAUCUACUCAGACAUCCACCCAGUCAAUUCCUGAAGGGGGACUGUAAUAGAACAACAUUGGAUUGAACCUGAACUGGAAUCCCAUCAAUAAUGAGGUUUAGGAUAUACACUGUGACAGUAUACUGAAUCAUCAUCAUCAUCAUCAUCAUCAUCAUCAUCCUGCCUGUCUCCUCUGUUUCAGACUGGCCGGUGGUCCCCCAGACCUCCGCUGCUGUCUCCUCUGUUUCAGACUGGCCGGUGGUCCCCCAGACCUCCGCUGCUGUCUCCUCUGUUUCAGACUGGCCGGUGGUCCCCCAGACCUCCGCUGCUGUCUCCUCUGUUUCAGACUGGCCGGUGAGUCCCCAGACCUCCGCUGCUGUCUCCUCUGUUUCAGACUGGCCGGUGGUCCCCCAGACCUCCGCUGCUGUCUCCUCUGUUUCAGA